rnacentral:tRNA from 1 species
UGUCCUAUGGUGUAAUGGUAGCACAACAGAUUUUGGUUCUGUUAGUGGUGGUUCAAAUCCUCCUUGGACAA